rnacentral:misc_RNA from 1 species
UCCAACAAGACCCCUGAAGUUUAUUCCUGUUUUUCAGAAGUAAGGACUACUUAGUUCAAUUGUAGAAAAUCAAGGAUACAAAUGUGAAUUAAACCUAAUGUANUAAGUGGGUUUUGUAAUUUAUCCACAUAAAAUCUAUAAACUAUAAGUAGCACUCUUGACAGUAUACCUGCCAGUUCACAGUCGUAGGCCCUCCAACUUUGUGAUGGUCUGUGAUCUUGCUUCUAAACCACCUGUCAAGUUCUCCAACUUGAUGUCACCGUCAUGAACUGCCCGGACAAGAUGCAAAAUACGAUAUUGGAGCUUUGCAUUUUCCAUAGCAAGGUUCUUAGCCUUCUCUUGUUCUGAAGCUAGCUCUGCAUUUGCACCUUCUAGCUUAGACUGAAGUUCACUUAUUGUUUUCAAAAGUUCCUCAUUUUCAGCAUCCUUCUUACUUGCAAGAGCAACUUCAAGUCUUGACAAUCGAUCCUCAGCUUCAGUAGCUCUUCUGUAGAAGGGUUUUAGGAUCUCUGCAAGAUCGCCUCUAUUUCCAACCUUGUGAGUCUCUGAUGCCGCCAUUUUUAUUAGGAAGCGAACCACAGCAAACCACCCUCAAACACUGACACGGGAGGCUUCUUCUAACUAUGAAUUUG